AUUGAACGCUGGCGGCAUGCCUUACACAUGCAAGUCGAACGGUAACGGGCCUUCGGGUGCCGACGAGUGGCGAACGGGUGAGUAAUGUAUCGGAACGUACCUUUCAGUGGGGGAUAACGUAGCGAAAGUUACGCUAAUACCGCAUAUUCUGUGAGCAGGAAAGCAGGGGAUCGCAAGACCCUGCGCUGAUUGAGCGGCCGAUCGCAGAUUAGCUAGUUGGUGAGGUAAAGGCUCACCAAGGCGACGAUCUGUAGCGGGUCUGAGAGGAUGAUCCGCCACACUGGAACUGAGACACGGUCCAGACUCCUACGGGAGGCAGCAGUGGGGAAUUUUGGACAAUGGGGGCAACCCUGAUCCAGCCAUGCCGCGUGAGUGAAGAAGGCCUUCGGGUUGUAAAGCUCUUUCGGCCGGGAAGAAAUCGUAUCAGCUAAUACCUGGUGCGGAUGACGGUACCGGCAUAAGAAGCACCGGCUAACUACGUGCCAGCAGCCGCCGCGGUAA
rnacentral:rRNA from 1 species